rnacentral:rRNA from 1 species
UGGGGAAUAUUGGACAAUGGGGGGAACCCUGAUCCAGCCAUGCCGCGUGUGUGAAGAAGGCCUUAUGGUUGUAAAGCACUUUAAGCGAGGAGGAGGGUACUGGUAUUAAUACUACCAGGUACUGGACGUUACUCGCAGAAUAAGCACCGGCUAACUCUGUGCCAGCAGCCGCGGUAAUCCAGAGGGUGCGAGCGUUAAUCGGAUUUACUGGGCGUAAAGCGUGCGUAGGCGGCUAAUUGAGUCGGAUGUGAAAUCCCCGAGCUUAACUUGGGAAUUGCAUUCGAUACUGGUUAGCUAGAGUGUGGGAGAGGAUGGUAGAAUUCCAAGUGUAGCGGUGAAAUGCGUAGAGAGCUGGAGGAAUACCGAUCGCGAAGGCAGCCAUCUGGCCUAACACUGACGCUGAAGUACGAAAGAAUGGGGAGCAAACAGG